GGAAGAGGAGGAAGCCCUGGAGGGGCUGGAGGUGAUGGACGUUUUCCUCCGGUUCUCAGGGCUCCACCUCUUUCG
rnacentral:pre_miRNA from 1 species